rnacentral:tRNA from 1 species
GGUGGGUUGGCUCAGUGGUUAGAGCGUAGGUCUCGUAAGCGAAAGGUCAUGAGAUUGAAUCCCGCUAGAGGCUG